rnacentral:rRNA from 1 species
GAUCUCAAAUCAGGUAUGACCACCCGCUGAACUUAAGCAUAUUAAUAAGCGGAGGAAAAGAAACUAACAAGGAUUCCCCUAGUAAUGGCGAAUGAAGCGGGAACAGCUCAAAUUUGUAAUCUCCUCGGAGAAUUGUAGUUUGUAGAAGUGCAUUCGUCGGGCGUCUGGGUACAAGUCCCUUGGAACGGGGCAUCAAAGAGGGUGAGAAUCCCGUCUCUGAUCCAGUAGCGGCCGCAGUGUGAUGCAGUUUCAAAGAGUCGGGUUGUUUGGGAAUGCAGCCCAAAGUGGGUGGUAUAUUUCAUCUAAAGCUAAAUACAGGCGAGAGACCGAUAGCGAACAAGUACCGUGAGGGAAAGAUGAAAAGAACUUUGAAAAGAGAGUUAAAUAGUACGUGAAAUUGCUAAAAGGGAAACGAUUGAAAUCAGGAAUGGCGUGUGGAAAUCAGCCGGUUACCAAGGUGGCCGGUGCACUUUCCAGGCGGCAGGUCAACAUGGCUUUCGGACGAUGUAAAGUAGUGUGGGAAGGUGGCUCUCUCCGGGGAGUGUUAUAGCCUGCGCGAAUAGGUCGACCGGGAGCGAGGAUUGCAGUGCAUGCCUUGCGGCUGGCGAAGGAUCUGGUAUUUGAAGGUGGGUAG